CCUACGGGUGGCAGCAGUGGGGAAUAUUGCACAAUGGGGGAAACCCUGAUGCAGCGACGCCGCGUGAGUGAAGAAGUAAUUCGUUACGUAAAGCUCUAUCAGUAGGGAAGAAAAUGACGGUACCUGAGUAAGAAGCCCCGGCUAUUUAGGGGCCAGCGGCGGCGGUAAUACGUAGGGGGCAAGCGUAAUCCGGAUUUACUGGGUGUAAAGGGAGCGUAGACGGUGCGCCAAGUGUGGAGUGAAAUGCAGCAGUUUAACUGCGGAAUUGCUUUGGAAACUGGCGAACUAGAGUACGGGAGAGGUAAGCGGAAUUCCGGGUGUAGCGGUGAAAUGCGUAGAUAUUAGGAAGAACACCGAUGGAGAAGGCAGCUUACUGGACCGUAACUGACGUUGAGGCUCGAAAGCGUGGGGAGCAAACAGGAUUAGAUACCCUUGUAGUC
rnacentral:rRNA from 1 species